UGCUGUCGGACGCACCGUUCCCGGAGGCUCCUGCGCUGCCAACAUCCCUCCCUCCGCCAGACCGGCCUCAGGUCCAGUACCGGCUCAUCUAUCACGAGGCUGGAAAGAGACGUGGUGAGAAGCGGAGAUUAUUUGUUGAUGAGCCACAGCCUGUGACUCCCGCGAACCGACCCGUUCAGCCCACUGGGUUGUCGUCCUCCACCCGGCCGAAGCCUGCUGCGCUCACCCCCAUUCUGCCGAGGCCUUCUGCGCCUACCCACCUCCAGCCGAGGCCACCCGCUGCGUUGACCUACGGCCCACCCCCUGUGUCGGCAGCACCCAUACUGCAGGUCUUCCCCGCACAGCCACAGGCGCCCUCCGUCCUGUUUCGUGGGACAUCCUGCAGCCAGAGCUUUGUCCCUCCUGCACCAACAGUCAAGGCAUUCAUGCCUAACAAGUCCUCAAGGCCAUGUGGGGCUUGCCACAUGCCAAACUGUGGUGGACAGUGGAAGAGGUACAACCCUUUCAAGGACAAAGUGGCUGGAAGCAUUCAGAAAAUGUUUUCCUACUGUCCAUCCACUAGGAAGUCCACUACCCCUGGCUUCGACAAUGUGGUGUAUGACAACUUUGAACUCUUUAAGAGUGUCGUGGAUGCAGAGUUGGAAAGGAGGACUGUGUGUGUGUGUGUGUGUGUGUGUGUGUGUGUGUGUGUGUGUGUGUGUGUGUGU